rnacentral:rRNA from 1 species
UACGUAGGGUGCAAGCGUUUAAUCGGAAUUACUGGGCGUAAAGCGUGCGCAGGCGGUUUUGUAAGUCAGAUGUGAAAUCCCCGGGCUCAACCUGGGAACUGCAUCCGAGACUGCAUUGCUAGAGUAUGGGAGAGGGAAGCGGAAUUUCUGGUGUAGCAGUGAAAUGCGUAGAUAUCAGAAGGAACAUCAGUGGCGAAGGCGGCUUCCUGGACCAAUACUGACGAUCAGGUGCGAAAGCGUGGGGGAGCAAACAGG